rnacentral:rRNA from 1 species
GGGGGGGGGGGGGCUCGGACAGUUUGUGAUCUUGUGAGUCUUGUAUAGGCUCAUUCCCCUAGCAUUGUUUUUCUUUGUGAAACUAGACAAUCCAAGAAUAAGAUGAGUAGGUACCGUGCUCGAUUAGGUUUGAAAGGUUUUGAUGCCUCUAAUAGUGUUGGUCUUAGUGAAGGUCUUGCUUUGUAUUGGCAUGAGUCUUUGAGUUUGGAUGUAAAACAAUAA